UACGAAGGGGGCUAGCGUUGUCCGGAUUUAUUGGGCGUAAAGAGCGUGUAGGCGGCCAUACAGGUCAGCUGUGAAAACUCGAGGCUCAACCUCGAGACGUCGGUUGAAACCGUAUGGCUAGAGUCCGGAAGAGGAGAGUGGAAUUCCCGGUGUAGCGGUGAAAUGCGCAGAUAUCGGGAAGAACACCCGUGGCGAAGGCGGCUCUCUGGGACGGUACUGACGCUGAGACGCGAAAGCGUGGGGAGUGAACAGG
rnacentral:rRNA from 1 species